UUACGGCCACAUCACGUUGAAAUACCGGUUCUCGUACGAUCAACGAAGAUAAGCAACACGUCGAGCCUGGUCAGUACCUGGAUGGGUGACUGUUUGGGAAUACCAGGUACUGUAAG